rnacentral:rRNA from 1 species
CCUACGGGAGGCAGCAGUAGGGAAUCUUCCACAAUGGACGAAAGUCUGAUGGAGCAACGCCGCGUGAGUGAAGAAGGGUUUCGGCUCGUAAAGCUCUGUUGGUAGUGAAGAAAGAUAGAGGUAGUAACUGGCCUUUAUUUGACGGUAAUUACUUAGAAAGUCACGGCUAACUACGUGCCAGCAGCCGCGGUAAUACGUAGGUGGCAAGCGUUGUCCGGAUUUAUUGGGCGUAAAGCGAGUGCAGGCGGUUCAAUAAGUCUGAUGUGAAAGUCUUCGGCUCAACCGGAGAAUUGCAUCAGAAACUGGUAGACUUGAGUGCAGAAGAGGUGAGUGGAACUCGAGGUGUAGCGGUGGAAGGCGUAGAUAUAUGGAAGAACACCAGUGGCGAAGGCGGCUCGCUGGUCUGCAACGGACGUUGAGGCUCGAAAGCAUGGGUAGCGAACAGGAUUAGAUACCCUAGUAGUC